rnacentral:rRNA from 1 species
AUGGCGGCGGCGGAAGAGUCGACCGCAUUCGCGGCCAUUGGUGGGGCUCGCCGGACCGGAGCGUCGUCGCCGGAGAGCCACAGAUUGAAGAAGAAGAAAUGUCAUCGCAAUAGGGCUUCACAAGAACGCCUGGCUAUAUUGAACGAUGGAUUUACUGAUGAGCAGAAGGGAGCUGCCGGUGAGAUGGGGAUGCAGGCUCUGAUGGAUGUUCGAUGCAAGAACCUAGUGAACCCUAUAUGCGACUGGCUUGGUGAGAUUUAUGAUCCUACCUUCAGGGAAUUCAUGAUUCCGGGACGGGGAAGACUGCCUUUGGAUGAGGAAUCUGUGUUCUACACUUUGGGUGUGCCUCGUGGAGAAAUCAAAGUCCCGUAUGAGGUGAAUAAUAAGAUUAAGGAAGCCUUGUUCACCCGUUUGUUUCCUGGGAUGUCAUCCAUGCUGAAUAUGGCUGUGCUGGCAACUUCGCUGGAGGGCAUGAAAACCCAUGACGAGGCGAAGCUGAAAGACGUUAAGAACAUGAAUUGGUGUAAAUUCAUCGCGGACUUCCUGCAUGAUGCAUUCUCAUCCAAGAUGUACCAGAAGGGUUGUUGCUUGCACCUAAUGCUCAUGUACGUCAAUGCUCUUGACCUGUCCACCGUUGACUUUACUGGGAUAGGAGGCCCCCCGCCUACACAUAAGUUUGCUGUCUCUGCAUGGACGGACGUUGCUGUCAAGGCUGUGCUUGCCGCAGACAGGAUAAGUGAUACGAAAUAUGGGAAACUGCAGGUUAGUUCUGCCUUCUUUCUUGCACGUCAUUCUUCAAUUUCAAUGUUGCAUAACAUAUGA